GAAAUAUGAAAUUUAUUAGAGAGGAUUGCUUCAUUUGCAUUAAGAAAAGGAAGGAGAAAGCAUUAUUGAAUGUACCAUAUUGAAAUAUGAAACUUAUUAGAGAGGGUUGCUUCAUUUAUAUUAAGAAAAAAUACCGACAACAAUUUGGUAUCUAAAUUCACAACGACAACAAAUAUGCAAAAAAAAAUAAAAAAUAAAAAAAAAUAUUUGUAUACGGCCUGCUGUACAAAACGAGCCCAGCCUUAUUUAAGGCCCAAAAAAAUAACGGACUCCCAAUCUAAUCCCAUUCCUCGUGAUUUUUAAUACAACCGUUUAAUUUGACUUUCGCAAACUUGUUUUUCCAGUUUCCUUCUUCUUUUCCCAAACCGCCAUUACUUCUGUCACUUUGACCCUUUAUUUCGCCUCUGCAAUUCUCUCUUUUCUCACUUCUUUAUUUAAUUUUCUCUGCAAUUUCGUUCUUUCUCUCUCUAAAUUACGUUCUCCCUACUCUAAAUUUUCUUCUUUUUUCAUCUUAAUUGUCAAAAAUGGUUAAAAUCAAGAAGGUCAUUCGUUCGGGAAAGAAAGGAGUUUCUACAUAUUCAGUCGAUGAUGAUCCAGCUGCUAAGGAUGAAAAUAAAUCUCAACCUACUGAGGAUUUGAAGUCUGGUGAGGUUGUUGAGGAUGUAAAUGAUUUGCAACCUACUGAUCUAAGGAUUUGAAAGUUGUUGAUGCUGCUGAGGAUGUUACAUCUGUUGAAGCUCCUGAGGAUGUGAAAUUUGUUGAGGUCGCUGAGAAUGUGAAAUCUGGCAUUUUAAAGAAACGAAAAGGUCGAUGUGCUGCCAAAUCUAGUCAAGAAGUUGAUGUCAAGCCUGAUGUUGAGGAUGUGAAACCUGUCAUUGCAAAGAAACGAAGAGGUCGUAAAGCUGCUGCUGAUUCUAGUCAAGUAGUUGAAGUUGUAAAAGUUGAAGGUGAAGGUGAAGAGGGGGAUGAUGGAGUUACUGUGCGAUGAGACCAGCUGGUGUUGUUCAAUUUAUGAAAAAGGCAACUGAUAAACAAAAGAGAGAUGUUGAGUCUAUUGGGUUUGGUAGUUUGGUAUCAAUGAAGUUAGAAAUCUGUCCGAGGCAAAUUAUUCGCUGGGUUUGUGCACAUUUUGAUGUAGAGACUUGUUCUUUUAAUCUACCUUCUGGACAAUCUUAUAAGCUGACAACAGCUGAUGUCCAUGAUGUUUUUAACAUUCCCAUGGGUCCUUCUGUUGUGCCCAUUUCUGGUAGACAAAGAGAUAAUGAGUUGAAGUCUUCUUAGAAGGAAAAGUAUGCCGGUGGUGAUAAAGAGAUUAUUGUUCCAGUUAUGGUUAACAGGAUGAAAAGUGAUAAGGGUAUGUUGGCAGGCAAUGAUGAUUUCAAAAGGUGUUUUGUGAUGUUUUCCAUGGUUACGUUACUUGCCCCCACAACAAAUAGGCGAGCUGAUUUGAAAUUAGUUUUAGCUUUAGAGGAUGUUGAGGAAAUUAGCAGGUAUAAUUGGUGUCAGUAUGCUUUGGACAAUCUAUGUGAUAAGUUGUCAAGUUACAAAGAUUCAGUGAAAUAUGUUGCUGGGUGUAUAAUUUUUCUGCAGCUUUGUUAUUUCCAUAGGGUUCAAAUUCAAGGGAAUGUAUUGGAUAGUUCAUUGCCAUUGAUUAGGCAUUGGAGUGAUGGGUUGAUCAAAGAAAGGAUAAGCCUCGAGAAUGGAAAUUAUGGGCAAGGUGUACUAGAUAAAGUUAUAUAUCCUGUUACUAAGGCUGAGGUUGCUGGUCAGAGUACUAAGGUGCAAAAGAAAAAAAAAAAUAGUUCAGGAGAAAAAAAGAAGACAAAGAAGUGAUUUUACUAGAGGUGGCCAAGAAGAUAAAGGAAAACAAGAAAAAAAAGGGGGGGGGGGAAGAAGAUAAAAAGGAAGAGAAGGAAUCAAUGGAAAAAGAAGAGAAAGUAGAAAAGAAAAAAAAGAGCAGUAAAACGGGUUCCUCAGAGAAAGAAACAGAGGAAAAAGAAGAGAGUUUGGAACCCAAAAAACAGGAAAAGGAAACAGAAGAAAAUGUAGAGUUUGGAGGGACCAAAUGAAGAAGAUGUAACAAAAGAACUUGACAUAACGAGUGAAGAGAAAGAGGAUGAAGAGAAAGAGGAUAAAGAAGAAAAAAAUUAAGGAAGAGAAAGAGGAUAAAGAAGAAAAAAUUGAGAAAGAGAAACAAGAGUAUUUGGAAAAAAAUGAAGAAGAGAAAGAAGAGAAUUUGGAAAAGGAUCAGCCAAUACAAAAGAAGAGAAGGCGUUUGGUCAAAAAGGCUGAUCUGAUGCCAAAGAAGAAGCCAAGGCAUUUGAUGAAAAUGUCUGCUCGAAAUGUUAUUGUUGCCGAGCAGCCUUCUCCAAUUAUAGAUUUUUUUCUAGUCUUAAAGAUUCUGAUACUACUAUUGGUGAUACUGGUGUAAACCAAGUAUCUGAAUUAAAGAAGGAUGAUGGCGGUGCUGAUGUUGAGCAGCCUUCUGCAACUGAAGGUACUGAUGCUGCUAAUGCUAGUGCUAUUGUUGGUGUUAACCAGAUUUCUGAAUUGAAUAAGGAUGAUGCAGUAGGUGAUGUUCAACAUCCUUCUUUAGUUCAAGAUGAUCAUACAGAUCAUCAAACGGAAUCUGCUGUGAAUGUUGUUUCUGAUUUUGAGGCUACUGUUUCUACUGCUGACGCUAAAGUGGUGGAUGAUAUAUAUUAAUGUUGCUGAUGAUGAUGGUACUACUGUUCCUAGUUCGUCAAGUGUUAUUCUUGAUGGGAUUUCUUCUUCAUUUUGUUGGUGAUCACAUGAAUCUGCUUGCUGAUUAGAUGAAUUUGCUGGCUGAUCAAAUGAAGUUGCAUGUUGGUCAGAUAAAGUUUCUUUCUCUCUGUUCUUUUCCAACUCCUUUUUAAAUUCUUCUGCCUUCUCUUUUAUCAUUUUCAAAUAUGCUUCCAUCAAGUUGCAUGUCUCUUUGUGUUCUUGACAAUUUAGAACUAGGCUGUAGCUUUUUCUUGCCAUCAUGUGACGCCAAGGCAUGAAUUUCUGUGUCUGAGUUUCAUUUUCAGCUGCCAUUUCAUCUCUUUUUCUCCAGACAUGUCCUUUUGCUAUUUUGGUCCAUCUUGUAAGAAUGUAACAGGUAGGUAUCCUUGUCACAUUAUGACUCUGCAAGAUCUUUAUACAGUGAUAACACAACCAACCAACCUCUUCAAAAUUCUUGCAAGAACAUGCUAUUGUAUUUUUAGCAUAGUUAUAUGUAACUUUCUGCUUAGUUAAUUCAUCGUACUCAAUCUGCACCUCAUAAAAGUAAAAAUUUCCCAUUAUAGAAUGGAGACGAGUUAAGCAUCCAAUUGAGUACAGAAAUUUUGUCUCAAAGUAUCUGAAUAUAGUCUGUGUAUAAACUUCAUAUGCAUGUUUUAGUAACCCAAAAAAUGGCAAAUUUAAACUUGGCUGAGAGUUUGAACACUUGAAAUCAGCAUCAGACUCAUUCUUCCUCCACCUCUUCAUUAUCUGAUUGAAUAUUUUGAAGAAAUCAGUUAGGCUUGUGUUUUUGUUGGCCUUAAACCCAACUGCAUUAUUGGUACUUUCGCUAAGAAAUCCUUACUUAAAGUUGUACACCAUUUUUCCCUCAAAUUGUACAACCUUUCAAACCAUCUGUUGUUUUGUAGCUUAUAUUUCUCUAUCAUAUCAUCCCAGCAUGUCUGAAAUUCAAUCAUAUAAUAUUUUAGUUGCUAAUGUACAGGGAUAACUUAUUGGGGUUACAUAAGAAUUUAAGGGUUACUUAAGAAUAAGGGGUUACUUAAGUUUUUACGGGUUACUUAAAAUCUGAUAAUAAUUAAGAAUUAAGGGGUUACUUAAGGUUGUAGGGGUUACUUAGAAUCUGAUAAUAAUUAAAAAUUAAGGGGUUACCUAAGAAUUAAGGGGUUACUUAAAUUUUUAGGGGUUACUUAAGUUUUUAGGGGUUACUUAAAAUAUGAUAAUUUUUCUUAAUUUAACAUAACACAUGACUCAGUCAUAAACACAUAAUUAUUAAGGGGUACUUAAGUUGUUAGGGGUUACUUAAAAUCUCAUAAUUUUUCUUAAUUUAACCUAACACAUGACUCAAUCAUAAACACAUAAUUAUUAAACACAUAAUUAUUAACACAAAUUUUAUAUAAGGGGUUACUCAUUCAUAAACACAUAAUUAUUAAACACAUAAUUAUUAACACAAAUUUUAAAUAAGGGGUUACUUAAUUAUAAUGGGUUACUUAAGAAUUAAGAAUUAAGGGGUUACUUAAGUUUUUAGAGGUUACUUAAAAUCUGAUAAUUUAUAAAGGGUUAAUUAAAAUAAGGGUAACUUAAGUUUUUAGGGGUUACCUGUGACACAACCAGAAAAACAUUUGUUGAAGGCAUCUUUGAAUUCUGUAUCCCUUUUUAAGGCUCCAAACUUUGAUAGAACAUUUUUUAUUAGAUGCCAAAUACAUAAUCUAUGUCUCGAUAGAGGAAAUACCUGCAAAGUAUUAAAAUAGAGGUUACUUAAGUUGUGACAUAUUCAUAGGUUACUUAAGUUGUAGAAAUACGUGAGGGGUUACUUAAGUUGUAAUAAAAGGUAAGGGGUUACUUAAGUUAUAAGGGUUACUUAAGUUAUAAGGGUUACUUUAGUUAUAAUACAAGUUUUGAGGUUACCUUUUCAAUUACUUUAGACAUAGCCAUGUCUUGAUCAGUGAUAUAGAGGCAGGUUCACUUCCACGCAUUGAUUUCUUGAAUGUGGAUAACAGCCACUCAAAUGUCUCGAUUUUCUCAUCAUCAAUAAAAGAACAACCAAACAUAACAUUUUGCCUAUGAUUGUUGACACCAACAUUGGGGCACAAAUAAGGUUAUAUAUGUUUGUCCUAUAUGUGGUGCCAAAUAUUACAACAUCUCCAUAAAUUUGAAAAUCUUCCUUUAUUUCAGAGUCCCUCCAAAAAAUAACAUUAAAUUUGUUUUGGUUUUCACCUCCUCCUAACUUAAAUCUUAAAAAGAACAGGAGUUACUUGUUAAUAAACAGGGGUUACUUACAAAAAAUGGUUACUUAAGUUAUCACUCAGGUUACUUAUAGGAGAGUUUACGUGAAAAAGAAAUCUCCAUCUUCUGCUUGCCUUUUGUAUAAUCCUUCUAUCACAGCUUGUGCAUCACCUCCUUGAAUUUUUUUCAUUUUCUUUCUUGAAAUGUAAUUGUGGUGGUCAGUCAUAGUGUGUCCAACAUUCUCCUGCCCACCUGCUUCAUUACUUAAUAAUCUGAAUGCUUCUGUUGUUCUUAAUCCACUCUCUGCCAUUAGAUCAAUGACUUUAGCUUUGUCCUUUGUUAUUUUUCUCUCUGAUCUGUGUAGACACUUCUUGCCAACUCGUGGUUAUGUACCAUAACAUGCUCUUCAACUUGAAACAUUCCAUCUUUAUUUAUUUUUGCCCUAAUAAAUGCCUUGCAGCCAGUCCUGGUAAUAGGUACUUGGUGUUUUUUUUUUCUUUUCAUUAGAUGGAGGUGGUGUUUUUAUAACUUUUGGUGCACACCUGAACCCUUCUUUAGAACAAACAAAAUUUUUUCCUAUAAGUUUUUUGUCUUUCCCUUGUGAGUACCUUGUUGUUGAGUUUCUUAUACUAAAUCCUAUAACUGUAGCAUGAAGCUAUUGAUCAUAAAUUUCAUUCAAAGUUGCUGCUGUAAACCCUACUAGACUUCCUGCAAAAUCAGCAAUAUUCUCUUGUUGAAGUUCAUCUUGAACUCCACUUUCUUCUGUCAAUGUACUAUGACUUGUUUCUGUAAUACUUGUAUUUAUUUCUGCAAAAAAGUAUAUUAAAGUUAGUAGUAUGUAUUUGUUACAGUACACAGUGGUUUACUUUAGUUAUAAGGGGUUACUAAGUGAUUAUAAGGGGUUACUUAAGUUAUUAUAAGGAAUUACUUAAGUUAUAAGGGGUUACUUAAGUUAUAAGAAGUUACUUAAAAUAUAAGAGGUUACUUAAAAAUAAAGGGUUACUUGGGUUACUUAUUACAGUAUAUAUACAGGAGUUACUUGAGUUACUUUAUAAAAAUAAGAGGUUACUUAAGUUAUAAGAGGUUACUUAAAAAUAAGGUUUACUUGGGUUACUAUUACAAUAUACGUAUAGGGGUUACUUAUAUUACUUAUUAAAGAAUACAAGGGUUACAUGUUAAUACGUACAAGGGUUACUUAUAUUACUUAUUAAAGUAUACAAGGGUUACAUGCUAUAUAAUCAGGGUUACUUAAGUUAUAAUAGGUUAUUUAAAAAUAAGGGUUACUUGGGUUACUAUAAUCAAGGGUUACUUUUUAGUUUAUUAUAUUAAAAAUUUCAAGUUUGAUUACUUAUAGGGGUUACUUUAUUUACCUUGGAAUUCAUUGCUGACAUUAGAUACUUCGAUUUCUCUGCUUCUGUUUUCGUCUUCUACAUCAAAUUCUUCAUUUAUGUCGAUUUUCAGAUUCAUCAAUGAAUCUCCUAUUUCUUCGAUCUCCAUUGAUUCUUGUGAAUCUGGUAAGUUUUGUGAUUCUUUUGUCAUAUUAAUCGAGUUGAAAUUUCUUGGAAAAAAUCGAUCGAUAUUAGGUCGAAUUAAUCGAGUUGAAAUUUCUGGGAAAAAAAUUGAUCAAUAUUAGAUCGAAAAAAAUCAAGUUGAAAUUUUGGUGGUUGUUUUUGCGAAUUGAUCGUCACUUAAAAAUGUAUUUUCUGGGUUUUUAGGGUUUAGGGAUUCGUGCUGGAGCUUUUUAUUGGUUUCAGGUUGUUUUUUUGGGAAAGAAAAGCGCGUGUACAUAAAUCCCGUUAUGCGCGCGUCAAUCCCGUUAUUUAUGCUGAUUUGGCAGCGUGCCGCAUGGUGCAGCGUGUUGUACCAAAAACGCGUUGGAAAAAAAAAAGUGAACCAAAAUGUUGAAAUACUUUCCUUGUUUUCUUCUUUUUAACCAUUAAUAAUUGUUCCAUUGCAAAAUUCUAAAAGCCAAAAUGUUGUGGCAAACUUCAUAUUCUAUAAAGAGUAAAACAAUUUGAUACUCCAUAAUCGUUAAUUUUAAUCUAUUAUCUCCUUGUUUU